rnacentral:rRNA from 1 species
AGUGAACGCUGGCGGUAGACCUAACACAUGCAAGUCGAACGGCAGCACAGGAGAGCUUGCUCUCUAGGUGGCGAGUGGCGGACGGGUGAGGAAUACAUCGGAAUCUGCCCAGUCGUGGGGGAUAACGUAGGGAAACUUACGCUAAUACCGCAUACGACCUUCGGGUGAAAGAGGGGGAUCGCAAGACCUCUCGCGAUUGGAUGAGCCGAUGUCGGAUUAGCUAGUUAGCGGGGUAAUGGCCCACCAAGGCGACGAUCCGUAGCUGGUCUGAGAGGAUGAUCAGCCACACUGGAACUGAGACACGGUCCAGACUCCUACGGGAGGCAGCAGUGGGGAAUAUUGGACAAUGGGCGCAAGCCUGAUCCAGCCAUACCGCGUGGGUGAAGAAGGCCUUCGGGUUGUAAAGCCCUUUUGUUGGGAAAGAAAUCUUUCAGGCUAAUACCCUGGGAGGAUGACGGUACCCAAAGAAUAAGCACCGGCUAACUUCGUG